rnacentral:lncRNA from 1 species
CCGCCCCUCAACCCGCCGAGGACUGUUCCCACAGUCCAUUGGAUCCCUGUCGCCUUACUUCAAUACCAAUCCUGGAGCGAGGUCGCCACUGGCUGGUUUCCAUUGGCUACCAUACAUCAUGGUUACCGGGGUGACCCGGGCUCUAUUUGCAUAGCCCAGCCUGAUUGGCUGGAGGCAGAGCAGGCUUCUUAGGAGGUGGGGCAAAAUCCUACUCUCCCACGGAAAGCCACGCCUACCCCAGGCCCCUCCUUCGUUCCCUCCCGAGGGGUUGGCUCUGAUGACCUGGGCAGGGACUCUGCUUCGCAGACGCAGUGUCGAUCUAAUCUUGAGCGCAAGUUUCGUUUUUGGAGAUUGUCAAGGUGACACCCUCGGGGACUCCGUUUCCUUUUACAGUCUCCUGCCGACAUAUUGUUCCCUGUUGAACACCAGAGAUCCUAACUGUGGUCUGGGCUAUAGACUCUGAUGGGGAAUCUUCAGCUAUUCUCUGCUUAAUGAAGGAGAUUUUGAACAUACACGGACUCCAAUUCAGUGCCAUUCAUGAGACCCGGGCUUUACACACGAAGCAC